rnacentral:rRNA from 1 species
UACGGGGGGAGCAAGCGUUGUUCGGAUUUACUGGGCGUAAAGGGCGCGUAGGCGGUCAGCACAAGUCAGUUGUGAAAUCUCCGGGCUUAACUCGGAAAGGUCAACUGAUACUGUGCGACUAGAGUGCAGAAGGGGCAACUGGAAUUCUCGGUGUAGCGGUGAAAUGCGUAGAGAUGUGGAGGAACACCAGUGGCGAAGGCGACUCUUUGGCCUGUAACUGACGCUGAGGCGCGAAAGCGUGGGGAGCGAACAGG